rnacentral:rRNA from 1 species
ACAUGCAAGUCGAACGAGACUGCCCCUUCGGGGGUAGGUGAGUGGCGAACGGGUGAGUAACACGUGAGCAACCUACCCUUGACUCCGGGAUAACAGCUGGAAACAGCUGCUAAUACCAGAUACUUACUUUCUCCGACAUCGGGGAGAGUAGAAAGCUCCGACGGUCAGGGAUGGGCUCGCGGCCUAUCAGCUAGUUGGUGAGGUAACGGCUCACCAAGGCUUCGACGGGUAGCCGGCCUGAGAGGGCGACCGGCCACACUGGGACUGAGAUACGGCCCAGACUCCUACGGGAGGCAGCAGUGGGGAAUAUUGCACAAUGGGCGAAAGCCUGAUGCAGCAACGCCGCGUGCGGGAUGACGGCCUUCGGGUUGUAAACCGCUUUCAGUAGGGACGAAGCUAACGUGACGGUACCUACAGAAGAAGCACCGGCCAACUACGUGCCAGCAGCCGCGGUGAUACGUAGGGUGCGAGCGUUGUCCGGAAUUAUUGGGCGUAAAGGGCUUGUAGGCGGUUCGUCACCUCGAAAGUGAAAACUCAGGGCUCAACCCUGAGCCUGCUUUCGAUACGGGCGAACUAGAGGUAUGCAGGGGAGAACGGAAUUCCUGGUGGAGCGGUGGAAUGCGCAGAUAUCAGAGGAACACCGGUGGCGAAGGCGGUUCUCUGGGCAUUACCUGACGCUGAGAAGCGAAAGCGUGGGGAGCAAACAGGCUUAGAUACCCUGGUAGUCCACGCCGUAACGGUGGGCACUAGGUGUGGGGGACAUUCCACGUUUCCGUGCCGAAGCCAACGCAUUAAGUGCCCCGCUGGGGAGUACGGCCGCAAGGCUAAAACUCAAAGGAAUUGACGGGGGCCCGCACAAGCGGCGGAGCAUGCGGAUUAAUUCGAUGCAACGCGAAGAACCUUACCUGGGUUUGACAUAUACCGGAAAGCUGCAGAGAUGUAGCCCCCGCAAGGUCGGUAUACAGGUGGUGCAUGGCUGUCGUCAGCUCGUGUCGUGAGAUGUUGGGUUAAGUCCCGCAACGAGCGCAACCCUCGUCCUACGUUGCCAGCGGAUAAUGCCGGGGACUCAUAGGAGACUGCCGGGGUCAACUCGGAGGAAGGUGGGGAUGAGGUCAAGUCAUCAUGCCCCUUAUGUCCAGGGCUUCACGCAUGCUACAAUGGCUGGUACAAAGGGCUGCAAAACCGCAAGGUCGAGCGAAUCCCAAAAAGCCAGUCUCAGUUCGGAUUGGGGUUUGCAACUCGACCCCAUGAAGUCGGAGUCGCUAGUAAUCGCAAAUCAGCAACGCUGCGGUGAAUACGUUCCCGGGCCUUGCACUCUCCACCCGUCAC